GAUGAACGCUGGCGGCGUGCUUAACACAUGCAAGUCGAGCGAAGCAGUUAAGUUGAUUUCUUCGGAUUGAUUCUUAAUUGACUGAGCGGCGGACGGGUGAGUAACGCGUGGGUGACCUGCCCCAUACCGGGGGAUAACAGCUGGAAACGGCUGCUAAUACCGCAUAAGCGCACAGAGCUGCAUGGCUCAGUGUGAAAAACUCCGGUGGUAUGGGAUGGGCCCGCGUCUGAUUAGGCAGUUGGCGGGGUAACGGCCCACCAAACCGACGAUCAGUAGCCGGCCUGAGAGGGCGACCGGCCACAUUGGGACUGAGACACGGCCCAAACUCCUACGGGAGGCAGCAGUGGGGAAUAUUGCACAAUGGGGGAAACCCUGAUGCAGCGACGCCGCGUGAGCGAAGAAGUAUUUCGGUAUGUAAAGCUCUAUCAGCAGGGAAGAUAAUGACGG
rnacentral:rRNA from 1 species